rnacentral:tRNA from 1 species
CCGACCUUAGCUCAGUUGGUAGAGCGGAGGACUGUAGAUCCUUAGGUCGCUGGUUCGAAUCCGGCAGGUUGGA